rnacentral:rRNA from 1 species
UACGGAAGGCAGCAGUGGGGAAUCUUGCACAAUGGGCGAAAGCCUGAUGCAGCAACGCCGCGUGCGGGAAGAAGGCCUUAGGGUUGUAAACCGCUUUCAGCAGGGAAGAAAAUGACGGUACCUGCAGAAGAAGGUGCGGCCAACUACGUGCCAGCAGCCGCGGUGACACGUAGGCACCAAGCGUUGUCCGGAUUUAUUGGGCGUAAAGAGCUCGUAGGCGGUUCAGUAAGUCGGGUGUGAAAACUCUGGGCUCAACCCAGAGAGGCCACCCCGAUACUGCUGUGACUUGAGUACGGUAGGGGAGUGGGGAAUUCCUGGUGUAGCGGUGAAAUGCGCAGAUAUCAGGAGGAACACCAGUGGCGAAGGCGCCACUCUGGGCCGUAACUGACGCUGAGGGAGCGAAAGCGUGGGUAGCAAACGAGGGAUUAGAUACC